GUAGAAGUAGUACCCUUUACUUUUCUUUGGAUACCCAAUGAACAAUCAUUUACUAGAUUUUGGUCCAAGCUUAUCGACUUUUAAACAUUUUACAUAAGCUGGACACCCCUAAAUUCGAAGGUGUGAGAGCACCGAUCCAUGCCCUUUCCACAUCUCAUAUGAAGUUUUAUCGACAAACUUACAUAGAACCUUAUUAAGAAUAUAGCAGGU
rnacentral:lncRNA from 1 species